UUUAACGGCCGCGGUAUCCUAACCGUGCGAAGGUAGCGUAAUCACUUGUCUUUUAAAUGGAGACCUGUAUGAAUGGCAUAACGAGGGCUUAACUGUCUCCUUUUUCCAGUCAAUGAAAUUGAUCUCUCCGUGCAGAAGCGGAGAUAGAAACAUAAGACGAGAAGACCCUAUGGAGCUUUAGACACCAAGGUAGAUCGUGUUAAGCACCUCUAAACAAAGGAUCUAAACCCUAUGAACCCUACCCUAAUGUCUUCGGUUGGGGCGACCGCAGGGAAAUAAAAAACCCCCGCGUGGAACGGAAGUACUCUCCCUACUACCAAGAGCUACCGCUCUAAUAAACAGAACCUCUGACCUAUUAGAUCCGGCAUGCCGAUUAACGAACCAAGUUACCCUAGGGAUAACAGCGCAAUCCUCUUUUAGAGCCCAUAUCGACAAGAGGGUUUACGACCUCGAUGUUGGAUCAGGACAUCCUAAUGGUGCAGCCGCUAUUAAGGGUUCGUUUGUUCAACGAUUAAAGUCCU
rnacentral:rRNA from 1 species